rnacentral:tRNA from 1 species
GCUGAUGUGGCUCAACGGUAGAGCAACUGACUUGUAAUCAGUAGGUUGUAGGUUCGAUUCCUAUCAUCAGCACCA